UGGCUCAGUUGGUAGAGCAUGGUGUUUGCAAUGCCAGGGUUGUGGAUUCGAUUCCCAC
rfam:Salmo salar isolate Sally breed double haploid chromosome ssa06, whole genome shotgun sequence.